rnacentral:sRNA from 20 species
AAUAAGAUUCGGUAGGUGAGGCUACCACAGGGAUUUGGAUUUUCCUAAGAUUGCUGCCGCAACAACGUGGAGACACGAUUCGCUGGUUAGCAGGAUAUGUCGCAGAUAAGGCAUAUCUUAAUGCAAUUUAUAUGCCCUGUGAUGCUAAAGCUUGAACGAUGUUGUCACGGA